UAAUAAGAUUUUUAAUAAUAUCGUCAUGGAGCCAUUAGAUAUUAUAGAGGAGGUGAAAGUGACAUCGUGGAAAUGGAGUUUGGAGAGAUUGAAAAUUUCUCCUUGUCUCUAUUAUGAAUGGUGUUUGGAGCCUGGUAUAUGUAUUAACAACUGAUUUUCUUUGCGGUCUUGGUGUUUUUGAUGUUGUUGUUUUAAGGGCGUGGGUUUUUCUUUUGUUUGGUGGGAUGGUGUUUUG
rnacentral:lncRNA from 1 species